GAUGAACGCUGGCGGCGUGCCUAAUACAUGCAAGUCGAGCGAACAGACGAGGAGCUUGCUCCUCUGACGUUAGCGGCGGACGGGUGAGUACCACGUGGAUAACCUACCUAUAAGACUGGGAUAACUUCGGGAAACCGGAGCUAAUACCGGAUAAUAUAUUGAACCGCAUGGUUCAAUAGUGAAAUACGGUUUUGCUGCCACUUAUAGAUGGAUCCGCGCCGCAUUAGCUAGUUGGUAAGGUAACGGCUUACCAAGGCAACGAUGCGUAGCCGACCUGAGAGGGUGAUCGGCCACACUGGAACUGAGACACGGUCCAGACUCCUACGGGAGGCAGCAGUAGGGAAUCUUCCGCAAUGGGCGAAAGCCUGACGGAGCAACGCCGCGUGAGUGAUGAAGGUCUUCGGAUCGUAAAACUCUGUUAUUAGGGAAGAACAAAUGUGUAAGUAACUAUGCACGUCUUGACGGUACCUAAUCAGAAAGCCACGGCUAACUACGUG
rnacentral:rRNA from 1 species